UGGGAGGGACAGCACUCUAGCCUCCUCCCCGCUCAGCCUCUCUCCCCUGCCCCUUUCUCCCAGCUGCUGAGAGACCCUCUCUUUUCCUGGCUCCUCUGCCCUCCCAACUCCCCCAGCCCUCUUCUCCCAUCUCAUCCUCCUCACCGCCCCUGUCCCCUCUGCCUCCAGGAUUCUGCCUGUUCCCCUGCAGGGAGCACUUUGACCUCUGUUCCAGCUGCUUUGGACCAGGCUCCCCUCCAGCCCCCACUGCCCCCACCGUGAGGGCUGCUGAUCAAGAGGUCCCACCUAGCCAGGGAGAUGGGGAGCCAGACAACAGAAGAGGGGGGUCUGGUAUGGGGAGGCCUCUAACCCUGCUAUCUGACCAGGCUGGGGUCAGGGGCAAGCAGCACCUGGCCAUGCAGGGAAACUGCCACCUUCAGCUCCAUCUGCCCCAGGUUUUUCUCGAAGGUGUGUAUUCAAUCCAAUGAGACGUGAACGCAGGGAGAGCGGGACAACUGUAUGCAGCUCUGACCUGGACGCAGACAAACUCGGAGCAGGAAAAACAGCGUGGGCUGAGCAGGAUUACCACUUGCAAUCCUGAAUCUUACCUAGAAGAAGGCAGAAACUUCCAGAGCGGUACCGCGUGGAAGCCUGGCAUCAGACUGCCCACUGUAGGAAACCUCCCAGCUCCAUCCAGUGCCUACAGGAGCUGGGACACAGGGGAGUUGCUUCAGCGCCACCUCCCUGAACUUGUUAACCGAGCAAAUCCUCCAGGCUCAGCUCCAGCCGCCAGAUCAGAAGCCCUGGAGGUGGCCCUGCAGUUUCCAAAAGCCCUCGAGGGUUUCCGGAUGUGUUUCUCCGUGGGAAACUUCCACCUUUCAAAGGCCAAAAGGGCACCAGAUCUCAUUACCUGAUUGUUAUAAGCCACCAUGUGGUUGCUGGGAAUUGAUUGAACUCUGGACUUCUGAAAGAGCAGCAGGGUCUCCAGCUGAACCUGGCAAUCAUCCUUUCAGCUAGACUGAAUGGUCUGACAGCAUUUAAGGUCCUUCUAUCUCUGCUACCCAGGAAUGAGCCAACACAACAGCAUUUUACAAGAGUCUUGGGGAUCAGAGGUUCCCUAAAAUCAGACUCUGUCAUCGGCAAGUGGAGACUGUAACAGACUGGGACCCUCACAUGCCGAUAAGCAGUCAAGAAUAUUUUCUGGGAGCUGGAGAGAUGGGCUCAGCAGUUAAGAACACUGACUGCUCUUCCGGAGGUCCUGUGUUCAAAUCCCAGCAACCACAGGGUAACUCACAACCAUCUGUAAUGAGAUCUGAUGCCCUCUUCGGGUGUGUCUGAAGACAGCUACAGUGUCCUUACAUAUAAUAAAUAAAUAAAUCUUUUUUUUAAAAGAAU
rnacentral:lncRNA from 1 species